UUUUUCUCGAGGUCGGCCGCGUGGCUGGAAGUCAUGGCCGCUCCCGUCGGUGUUGAGCACGGCGAGCAGCCUCAGGCCUUUAGUGAUGAUGAGGCCUUUCUUUGUUUGGCAUCUGCAGAGACGGGGAAAAGCAGAGCGCCAGGUUGAAGGACCAGAGUAAUGGAUGGAGCCCUAACAUGAGUAAGAGUGGGUGCAGGCAGGGCCUGAGUGGUCACUAGAAAUGAGAAAGCACAGUUGGUGCCAUCACAUACAUUCACCUCCUGCUUUAUUCUGAAGUUCAAGUGUGAGAAUACGUGCUGACAUACAAGCCAGCUAUGAUUGAAGGUGUUGGCUGUGGCCUUGAAAGCAGUCAUGUGAAAACUCAUCACCUUAAGGUGUUAAGUGUAAGGAUCUUAAUGAUGAAGUUUCUGUAAAUGGUGCAGUCAGCCUCAGUUUCCAAAGCCGGAAAAGGAUCCUCUAGUAGCCAUGGUGUGGCAGCUGCCCUGAACCAGGACCUGGACCCCGGACCCAAAGUGCCAUGUCUUUAAUGCAUGUUAGCUCCCAGCGAUGCCAGAUGGGAUCAGCACAGCCCUGCCUCUGCUGCUAAUUGUUCUUCUUCUUUUCUUUUUUUUUUGAGACGGAGUC